GGGAUGAAAGGGUGGACAAGGCGGUCCGAAGUGCCGAAGAACCUCAGCCUGACUGGCAGACACAUGAUGUCAGAAUAAUUAGAUCAUGCGAUGAUUACUUGGUGGCAAGGCGAUGGUUAACAAAAUAUAUGUCCUGUGACACAUCUGAUCUCCAUUCAGAAGAGGAGGCAAUUCCUAAAAGGAGAAAGCCAAUGCCUGUCCAUUUCUUUGGGGACUCGGAUGCAGACAGCGAGACUGAAAAUCGCCACCCCAAAAAAAAAAAGGGUCCAACCACUAGCAGGACAGUUGCC